rnacentral:rRNA from 1 species
AUGUUUCAGUUAACACUAUAUAUAGUUUUGUUGUUGAUUCUAAGUGAGGACAUGCUACAUCAUAUACAUUCCCUCAUGCCUAUACAAGACGCUGGUCGUGCUGCAUGUGUAUCUAGACGAUUUCUGCGUUCAUGGAGAUGCUACUCGAGUCUCAAACUCAACAUACAAACACUUGGAUUGACUGGCGAUAAAUCUGAAGGAAGUGAAAUGUAUUUCAUCAACAAAGUUGACAAAAUUCUUAAUAACUAUUCUGACAAGGGGAUGAAGGUGAAGACACUAAAACUUGAUCUUGGGCCUUGUAGCAGUGUGAGUGCCUCCUACCUAGACCGGUGGCUCAAAACUGCUGUCAAAUCUGGGACCAAAGAACUACGCUUGUGGCUAUCGCCUUCCAUGAAGGAAAAGUACUGCUUCCCAUGUUCGGUUUUAUUUGAUGAGGCGGCUACGAGUUCGAUCGAGUCCCUCUAUAUCUCCAACUGCACUUGGCUGCUUUAG